rnacentral:lncRNA from 1 species
CUUUUUUCUUUUUUUUUUUUGAAAGGGAGUUUCGCUCUUGUUGCCCAGGCUGGAUCGCACAAUGGCGCAAUCUUGGCUCUGUGUAACCUCUGCCUCCCAUAUUCAAGCAAUUCUCCUGCCUCAGCCUCCCAAGUAGCUGGUAUUAGUGUGCGCCACUGUGCCCAGUUAGUUUUUAUAUUUUUAGUAGAGACGGGGUUUCACCAUGUUGGCCAGGCUGGUCUGGAACUCUUGACCUCAGGUGAUCCACCUGCCUCAGCCUCCCAAAGUGCUGGGAUUACAGGCAUGAGCCACUGCGCCCGGCCGUGGAUGACUGAUUUCAUAUUGAUCAGUUGGGCUUCCUGAUGACUGUCUCUCAUGUGCAAAGGUGGUCCCUUGGCUUCAGAGUUGGUUGUACUGAGGACAAGAGAGGAUAUUGAUCAAUAGGAGUAACAAAUACAGAGGCCCAGAAAUGAGAGGGCAUUAGUCAUUCGGGAGAGAUGCAGGAGUCCAGUUCCUGGUGUGUUGCAUGUGAAGAGGAAAGGGCGUUGCAGGGGUACAGGCAGGGCUGCCGAGGGAGGGGCCUGAGUGCCCUACUAAGGAAUGUGGACUUCAGUUCAUGGGUGGGCAGUGGGAGCAAGUAUUCAAGCAGUACUGUUGAACAGGGUGUGACACAAUCAGAUGUACAUUUUAGAAAAGCCCCUGCAAUUGUGGAAAAUGCAUUUAAGGGACGUGAUUGGGGGCAAAAGAGUUUUACAGUCUUGCUAGGUGAGAAGGGUUGAAAGAUUUGUAGUGAGAAUAGAAAGAAAGGUGUAGAAUGGAAAAAUACUAAGGAGAUAGACUGUAAGAGUCAGUGACUGAAUGGGAUAGAUGGAGCUGGAGUAGAACUUAGCUUCCCAGAUCUCUGGCUUAGACGGUGGGUGGUUGUACUAAUCACUGAGGCAGGAAAAGGAGGAGGGAGCAGGUUUGUCACAUGGAUGAAAGGGACAAGAGCUGGCAGAUGUGCUGUGUUCAGGGGUCCAUGGGACAUCCAGAGCUGUCCAAGAGGCAGCCAGACUUUUGGAGCUUGGUUAGUGACUAAUGAGGCUGGAGCCAAGGUCAUGGGUAGGUGUCCAUCAGGUCACAGAGGCCAUGCGUGAAGCAGGACAGAAAAGUCCAGGCCCUCUAGGCUGAUGCUCUCACAGAUUCAGCAUCUAUGCAGCAUGCUGGAGACAAGGGGGACUCAGGAGUCUUAGGGUAUAGAGGAAAAUAAUUCCAGCCAACACUUACUGAUGUUUCUCGAGCCAUAUGUGGGAAACAAAGCUCAUGGGGUCGGGGUUGGAGGAAUGACUUAUAAAUGAUGGCAGUAGAGUGUGCAGUCCCUGAUGAAGGUACUAAGGAGCUGCGUCACACCUGCAGUUAAUGUAGGCCAAUUGGACUGCAUGUGCUCAGCAAAAGAGGGGAGGAGCAAUUUUUUUUUUAAAUUUAAGAUGGACUUUCUUUUGCUGUUGUUGCCCAGGCUGGAAUGCAAUCUCCAACUCCAGGGUUCAAGUGAUUCUCCUCCCUCAGCCUCCUAAGUAGCUGGGAUUACAGGCAUGCUCCACCACACCUGGCCCUUUUUUUUUUUUUUUUUUGAGACGGACCGUCAAUCUUGUUGCCCCAGUUGGAGUGCAAUGGUGCAAUCUCAGCUCACUGCAACCUCCAUCUCCCACGUUCAAGCAAUUCUCCUGCCUCAGCCUCCCGAGUAAGUGGGAUAAUAGGCGCCCGCCACCACGCUCAGCUAAUUUUUUGUAUUUUUAGUAGAGACAGCGUUUUACCAUGUUGGCCAGGCUGGUUUCGAACUCCUGAACUCAGGUGAUCCACCUGCCUUGGCCUCCCAAAGUGCUGGGAUUAUAGGCGUGAGCCACCAUGCCCGGCCUGCAACUUUUAUAUUUAUUUCUUAGAGGCAGGGUCUUGCUCCUUUGCCCAGGCUGGAGUGCAGUGAUGCAAUCAUAGCUCACUGCGACCUUGAACUCCUGGGCUCGUUACCCUCCCACCUCAGCCUCCCAAAGUGCUGGGAUCACAGGCAUGAGCCAUCGUCCCCAGCUGGGAAGGGCAGUUUAUGUUUGUUUAUUUUGUGAGACCCUGUCUCAAACAAUCAAGUAAAUAACCUUUUUAAUGUCACUUUGGUAAUAGUCCAUGGUUUGGCUAUAACAUUGUUUACCUAUCCAUACUCCCGUGGUUAGCCUAC